AAACGACUCUCGGCAACGGAUAUCUCGGCUCACGCAUCGAUGAAGAACGUAGCAAAAUGCGAUACUUGGUGUGAAUUGCAAAAUCCCGUGAACCAUCGAGUUUUUGAACGCAAGUUGCGCCCGAAGCCAUUCGGCCGAGGGCACGCCUGCCUGGGCGUCAC
rnacentral:rRNA from 1 species